rnacentral:lncRNA from 1 species
AGUUGGAGUCAGCAUCACCUAAGCAAAAGGAGCGACAGAGGAAUGGCAGUUUCUGAGAGGAAAAUCAAAGUGUCACUGCCCCCCGGAGAGAUGGCUGUGGAUUCCCGGCAGGCAGAAACAACUGCUGCCUCCUCUGCUCAGAGUCAUUCCGGAAUUCGGUCCUGAGGUUGCCAAGUUUAAUCCUCAACUCCUGAAAGUUCCCAGAAGCAGACAUUCUUUUUUUUUUUUUUUUUUUUUUUGCAUUGUUCUGUUCCGGGAGCUACGAACUCAAGUGUCUACAGAACAUGUCAGAUAGCAUAAACAAGAGAAGUGGCCAAGGCUAAUAAAGAUCAUUCAGCUCUCUUGGUCUGGCUUUUG